UGGGUUUUUAUUCCUUUCUAUUUUGCUUGUUGCUUGAUUCCUUUCUUUACUUUCUUUUCCUAGUUUUUAUGUUCAUCAAUCGUUGUUCAAAAGAGAAAUAUUAGAAAGAAAAGGAGGGACGUACCUGGCAGCGCGAUCUUAGCCCUAUUCGCCUCCAUCGGAGAACGGGCUAAGUUCGAGUGCCGUCUGAAUGUUCUCAAUGCACAGAGCGACGCAGGGCUUUACUUUAGUUUGGGUUUUGUUCUAAUGUUGUGGACGACAGUUUUUUAGGGUUUAUUUUAGUUUAAUCGCAAGAUUUAAAGCGUUUCCGUUCAGAUCCCAUACAUUGGCACUGAAACGGUGUCGCUCGAGAGCCUGAUCCAGGCGGUGACCCGAUCCGAGGUAGGAUCUACGCAUACUGGACUAGGGGUCUAUUUGCUUAAUAGGUCCUUGCGUGUUCAUCGAAAUUAAAAUUCUGAUAUCCUUUAAUUUAUUUGUAAUUAGUAUCACACAUUUGGUUAUGUUUUCAUUUAGAUCCAAGACUAUACGGCGUCGUUCAAGGUUGAGACCCGCGCGGUGACCCGACCCUAGGGCAGGAUCCGCGCACUUGGGUUUAUCGGUCUAUUUGCGCAACAAGACCCCUUUCUUUUGUGUUGUUUCAAUCUGUUUUUUU
rnacentral:lncRNA from 1 species